GACCCAAAAAAAGGUUUCGCUCAAGUGAAGUCUCAGCUCUGUCAGCAAAGGCUAAAUUCUUACGGAAUUUGUCAGAGCCAUGGCUUCACCCUGUUUGUACUUGAGCACCUCUCUGCUCAGGGUUGAUGACUUCAGGCUGGCCCCAGGUGGGAUGUGUGAUUCCCCCAAGGGCCUGGGGCUAAUUAGAGACCUCAGCUGAAGGCACCUCCAGGCCCCUGUAAGUGGAGUUGCUAAUGCAACUAAAAUUGCUAAUUAUUGCUAAAGUUUGUGGCUGGCCAGGGGUAAUUAUUUGGGUGCAGACCCCUCCAAGACCCCUCAGGAAAGGAGACUGCAGGGAGGAGCAGCUGCCCUGUGCAGAGAUGUUUUGAGGAAUGAGCUUUCAGCAGAGGUGAGACUGUGAAGAGAAAGUCCUGGACCAGAGAAGCCCUAUCCCAGAAGAUAGAUACCUGACUGACUGCUAUGUCAGAGUUUGCACUGAGUGAAGUCUGGACGCAGUCUGUUUGCUGACCAGCAGCUGCCAGGCUGCAAUUCCAGCCAGUUUUGAAUCAACAAGCCUGGCUCUCAUUUUCCUGAGAUCUCAUCAGAGCUGCUAUCAGCUUGGAUCCGACCUGGUGGAUCAAUGAAAGUUAUGACGCUAUAUGGAUUUGUUUUUCAGUGGCAUUGAUAAAAGAGUGUUGCAAGAUCCUCAUCUCAGACUCAGUCUGGCUAACUGAAGGUUGUGAAAUUUCCAAAGAUGACAAGGGGAAAAAAGAGAAAAAAAAGCAAAAAAAAAACAACCAUUCUCCCGUGUGUUGCAACUCUGAGUGCAAUCAGUUGCAAACAAUAAUUCUCUCACUGGACACUCAGCUUCAUUUUAGUUGGGUCCAUGGAAAGUAAUUUCUAUAUAUAUCAGCUAGAUGUCUGACCUGAGGGUUGAAACAAAGAAAUGUGCUUGCAGAAAUGUUGCAAAUGCAAAAUUCUGGCACUGAAGUCCAAGUUCUGCCCUUGACUAAUGUAGUUUGUCUCAAAAUUGUGACCACAUUGAGUAGUUGUACAGGGAAAGGGAAGAACUGAACCAUUUUGAAGAACAUCUGUAAGCUAAAAACCAAGAAGUAAGAUCCACUAGGAAUGGAAAUACUUGAUUAAUGUGCAACACUGAAGCGAAGAUAUUUGCUGUGAAACAGCUCCCAGAUCUACAAUGCUGCUUCAAAGCAUUCCUCCUCAUCUUUGACAACCAUGGCUUUACCUGCUCUGCUGGAUGAGAGGAUCCAGUUCCCCUUGCUCAGCAUUUCAGCUUCUCUCUGAUGUGCUUACCUCUUCUGCUAGCCCACUAGCUGUGGGCUGGUGACUGCAAUGUGAAAGUACUGUGUUUAAUUGGAUCUGAUUCCCACAGCAAACUAAUGAAGCAUCUCUGUUAUUAAUGGGGACACUUUAACAGUUGACCAUGAUGUAAAGACAGGAAGAGUUUACUGAGUUUUCAGUGAUAUUGGUUGGAUUAUAGCAGAGCAGAGAAGCCCUAGUCUUAGGUCAAGGUCCUUGUGAAGGUAACGUACAGGCAGUUCAUACCUCAAUGAGUCUGAUCAGAGUUUAGCAGGACUUUCCCAAAACAUUCCUUUAAAGAAACUCAGAGGAAGGAGAGAAAGGGGAAGAAUCAACACAAUUUGCACCUGGGAGUUGAGGAAAACAGCAGAAAAGCUCUGGGAAAUUCUACUCCAGCUUUUGCAUUUGGCAGAAUGGCUUCAUGGUAGGAUUUCAAGUGCUCAGAAAUCCCCUGGAAUAUGGUCCAAAACAAAAAAUAAUCUAAUCAAAUCCAAUCUCAUCCAAUCUAAUUUCAUUUCUCACUAUUGUGAAAUCACCACAAAAGCAUCUGAGACAUUUUUACUUUUUUAAAUGCUAAGCUUCUGCAGGAUAAACUUAUACGUAUUACUGCUAUAUAGGCACUGUUCCUUAGCAGAAUUAUAACUUAACUGAACUGCAGUAUGUUGCAAGAGGAAAUCCUUGUCAAUGACAGCCAUGGCCACGAGAAGCCUUGUCAGUGUUUCUACUAGGAUCACCAUAAAAAUGAUAGGAAUAUGUCACAUCAUGACCAUCAUUAUAUUUUUCCCACUGUGGAAUUGCCAUUGUAGGUGAUCUUCCAGCAAGAGCAAAAUAUUGCAGUUUACUGAUACCUCCAUGGGCCUGAUUUCAGUGACCUUCCACAUUCAUGCAAGAAAGAAUUAAGACAAUUCUGCAACUGAAUCUGAAAGAGCAGGUGUAAGAGUAGGUCAAAGCUCUUCAUAUCUUUUAAUGCAGUAAAUAAUGUUGUAUGUGUCUUGUAACAACCACUUGAGGUGGUGCUUAACACUUCAGUUUUCCAUUUCUCCUUGACAACUAUCUUGAUCACUGGAUUUCUAUAUUUGUAAUUGAUGUUACAUUGGACUCUGGAUAUGAAAACUAAUGACAAGAGAAAGUGGUGGCAAUUUCUGACUCAACAUUUUCAUCAAUAAAAAUCAUUCUUAAAAUGACUGACACUGCA